rnacentral:rRNA from 1 species
CAGGUCAGCAUACUGCCGUGAAUACGUUCCCGGGCCUUGUACACACCGCCCGUCACACCAUGAGAGUUGGAAAUACCCGAAGCCUGUGAGCUAACUUAAAGAGGCAGCAGUCGAAGGUAGAGCCAAUGAUUGGGGUGAAGUCGUAACAAGGUAGC